GCUCAUCUAGCUCAGUCGGUAGAGCACUUCCUUGGUAAGGAAGAGGUCGCAGGUUCGAUUCCUGUGAUGAGCACCA
rnacentral:tRNA from 5 species